AUGCUCAAGGCCAAAGGUUUUGGACAGAGGAUGAUCAAAUGGUUGUCAAUACUACUGCAAUCCGCGUCCACCCGCAUCAUGGUCAAUGGUCUGCAUGGCAGGAGCAUCACACAUGCGCAAGGGCUUCGCCAAGGAGACCCGGUCUCCCUCCUCCUUUUUGUUAUCGCAAUGGAUGCUCUGACUGCGGUGGUGACUAAAGCUUCUGUGGAUGGUGUUCUAAGCUCAUUCGGAGGCAUCUCGGCAGUUCAACGUAUCUCCAUAUACGCAGACGAUGUUGCUUUCUUCAUCCGCCCAUCGCUCCAAGAUAUGCAAUUCGUUCGGGAGGCCUUGUUGGUUUUCGGUGAGGCCUCCGGCCUUAAAGUGAACUACAGCAAGUCUAUGGCUACCAUCUUCAGAGGGGAGCAAGAGGAUAAAGAUAGGGUGACUAGUCUGCUUCAUUGUGCCCUAGCUGACUUCCCUAUAAGAUAUCUUGGGCUCCAACUCGCCACCCGUCAGUUGACCAGGAAUGAAUGGCAACCUUUGCUGGAUAUGGUCAAAAAAAUGGCUCCGGGCUGGCAAAGAGGCUUCAUACAGAGGGCAGGGCGCCUGGUGUUGGUUAAAUCGGUUUUAUCAGCUAGACCAGUCCACCAACUGCUAAUCCUUAAUGCGCCUGACUGGGUCUUUGAGGAGAUUAACACUUGGAUGUGCUCCUUCCUCUGGGCUGGCAAAGACAAAGCCAAUGGUGGACAAUGUUUGGUGGCUUGGAACACGAUUUGCAGACCCGCGAGCUUUGGUGGAUUGGGAGUGAAAAAUCUGAAAUUGCAAGCUCUGGCGCUAAGAGUUAGAUGGGAAUGGUUAAGCGGAGUGGACAAGGACAGACCAUGGAGCAAUCUGGCACUAAUGGUGGAUGAUGAUGCGAGAGAAGUUUUUGAUAGUCUAGUUGGCAUUAAGGUUGGCAGAGGUGAUCGCGUGCUCUUCUGGCAUGACAGAUGGAUUCAUGGAUACGGAGCCCAGGAUAUCGCUCCAAGCAUUCUAGCGAUGGUUCAAACCCGGGUGAUUAACUCGCGAACGGUUGAGCAAGCGCUGGUAGGAGAGAGGUGGGAGCAAGACAUCAUUGGGGACAUGCCCUUCAUGGCCCAGAUGCAACUGAUGCACCUUAGGCAUGCGAUAGCCACUAUUUGGAGGGAUGCCGAGGUGGAAGACAAGUUCUCCUGGCCAUGCUCAGGGGAGGAGGGCUCUUAUUCGGCUAAGGCCACAUAUGCCAGACUUUGCCAAGGAUUGAUUCGGGCACCGGCGGCCACAUGCAUCUGGAGAAGUUUAGCUCCUCUUAAACUCAGGAUAUUCAUGUGGUUGGCUUCGCAGCACAGGAUAUGGACUUCGGACCGGAGAGCUCGCCAUGGUCUACAAGAUCAACCUUCGCCUUGUUUCACGUGUCUGCAGAGCGAGGACAACGCGGAGCACAUUCUUGCCCAGUGUGUGUAUGCACAGGAAGUGUGGUUCACUUGCAUAGAUGAACUGCAACUUCCAAUCUCGGGGCCGACGGUAGACGAUACCAUGGUGGAAUGGUGGAUCCAAAAACGAAGAAGCGUGCACUCAAGCGAGAGGAGGGUUUUGACAGCUUUGUCAUCUGCACGGCUUGGACGCUCUGAAAGCAACGCAACGCACGAGUCUUCAACGGGAGGGAGCAACAAGUGCAAGCUAGAGACCUUGUUCGCUUAA
rnacentral:rRNA from 1 species